rnacentral:lncRNA from 1 species
AUAACAGUUUGGCCACCCACAAAAAUAAGAUUGUUUCUGUCCUUCCAUAAGUUCCAAACCACAACAGCAAAGAAAACAUUCCACUUAGUGGUGGCAGCACCAAUAUCAUUUGUGGAAAGGUUCCACUCUAACCAAUGAUCCUCUUUAAUAAGGGGAUCCCAAAUUUCUCAGAUGUGGUCACGGUGUCGAAGCAAACACAUAAUUGUUUCCUCCUGGUCACCACACCAAGCACAAGUAAAGUAACGUCAUUAGUCAUGUGACAGAUUUUGCGCUCAACAUUUGUGAGGUGGCGACCAUGACAAAUUAUAUUGUUUCCUCUUGUAUUUUUUGAGGACAUGGUGAAUUCCAUGGCAAGGUGUAAAGAGAUUCGAUAUGUGAAGCCAAAUCCCGAGUGAGGUAUUGAUAGGCUGAUUUAAUAGGAGAAGUUUCCAUCACUACUCACUAGUCAUGGCCAAGCACGGACGGUCCUCAAAACCAUGCGAGGGGGCUUUAUACUAGCCAUUUUUUAACAAAUACUCUAGGAGAAGUUGAUUUAUCCUGUUCCAAUUCAACUCAGAACCGUUAGUAUAGGAGAAAACAAUGUAUUCAUCUUCACCGUGAGGAAUAGUAGAGGUAAAGACGUUAAGUGAUCCUUGAGGGAUCUGUUCCAUUCCAUAAGCCCU